GCCCCCCCCGGGCACUGAGCGCCGCCCAUGGGACAAUGGUGGCCCACGCACCCACGUGUGGCACCGAGCUGUGGCGCUGACACGGCGGCGAUGACAAUGCUACGCUGAGGGUGACAGCGCUGUGCUGGGGGUGACAACACUACGUCGGGGGUGACAACGCCGUGUUGGUUGUGACAACACUACGUCGCGUGUGACAACACUACAUCGGCUGUGACAACGCUACGUCAGCUGUGACAACACCGUGUCGGGUGUGACAACACUACACCGGGUGUGACAACGCUACAUGGGAUGGAACAACGCUACAUUGGGUGUGACAACACGACAUCGGGUGUCACACUGCCACGUCGGGUGUCACAACGCUGUGUUGGUUGUAACAACGCUACAUCGAGUGUGACAACGCUACGUCGGGUGUCACAGCGCUGCGUCGGGUGUGACAAUGCUAUGUCAGGUGUGACAGCACCGUGCUGGGUGUGACGACACUACAUCGGGUGUGACAACACUGCAUCAGAUGUGACAACACGACAUCGGGUGUAACAUUGCCACGUCGGGUGUCACAACACUGCGUCGCGUGUGACAAUGCUAUGUCAGGUGUCACAACACCGUGCCGGGUGUGACGACACUACCUCGGGUGUGACAAUGCUACAUGGGGUGUGACAGCGCUGCGCCGCGUGUGACAACACCACGUCAGCUGUGACAACGCUGCGCCGGGUGUGACAGCGCUGCGCCGGGUGUGACAACACUGCUGGUUGUAACAACACCACGUUGGGUGUAACAAUGCUACAUUGGAUGGAACAAUGGCACAGCGGGUGUGACAAUGCUGCGUCGGCUGUGACAACACCACAUUGGGGUCACAAUGCUGCACUGGGUGUGACAGUGCUACAGCGGGUGUGACAACACGGCGUCGGGUGUACCAACCCAGCAUCGGGUGCAGCAAUGCCACGUCGGGUGUGACAACACCGCACUGGGUGUCACAAUGCUACACUGGGUGUAGUAAUGCCAUGCUGAGUGUGACAACACUGCGCUGGGUGUGACAACACUACACUGGCUGUAGUAAUGCUGAGUUGGGGGGGACAACGCUACACUGGGUGUCACAACGCUGCGUUACAUGUGACAACGCUGUGUUGGGGGUAACAAUGCUACACUGGGCGUAACAACGCUGCGUUAGGUGUGACAGCAACACUGCUGGGUGUGACAACGCUGCUUCGGGUGUGACAACGCUACAUUGGCUGUAACUGCUACGCUGGGUGUAACAACGCUACAUGGGGUGUGACAACACUGUGCUGGGUGUAACAACACCGCGUUGGGGGUCACAACGCUACGUGGGGUGUACAAGCACUAUGUGGAGUGUGACAACACCGUGUUGGGUGGAACAGUGCUGCACUGGGUGUGAUAAUGUUAUGUUGGGGGUGACAGCAGUACACUGGGUGUGACAACGCUGUGUUGGGUGUGACAACACUAUAUUGGGUGUGACAGUGCUACACUGAGUGUAACAACACCACAUUGGCUGUAACAACACUACACUGGGUGUAAUAAUGCUAUGCUGGGUGUAACGAUGCUGCCUCGGGUGUGAUAACACUGCGCUGGGUGUAAUGACAAUGCUGCAUCGGGUGUAACAAUGCUACGUUGGCUGUAAUGAUGCUAUGUUGGGGGUGACAACACUACA